CUCCAUUAUAUCUGCUGAAAAGUUACUUAUAAUAUAGUUUUGGUAAUUAGAUAUAUGCACAAGAAACUAGACCAAAAAUUCUUGGUCAUAUUUUGUGUCGCUCAUCUUUUUAUCUUCUCUGCAUAUUCUGCGAUUGUUUGCUGUUUAUGAUCAGCUCAAACAAAAUAAACACUUAAUUGUCCCAUCUCUGCGGUUACUGUGUAAUAUUGUGAAAGAAAAAUGAUCCUCAUAAAACAAAACAUGAAAACUUGCUACAUUUUCUUACAAAUUAUGACUAUAAACAGUCUAAACAUUCAGUAGCACCAACCAAAUUAAGCUGCAGCUUAGAAACAACCUCAAUGCAUUUGCCCUCUAGAAAGUCUUAAAGUAUGCAAGUAAUUGCACGCAGUAUCGCUGUGCAGCUUGCAUUUAAAAGCAUGCAGAAUUUUAUUAGAGGUUUACUGCCAGCUGUGCUCUUUUGUUUGACAUGGAGCUACAAACACGAAUGAGUAAAUGUUGUGUUGUGAUGGUAAUGCUGUCUGCCUUGUGAUUCUUUAUGCCACCCAAGAGGCUUGUUUGUCUGCUACAUUCAGUCUUCUUCUAGUGUAAACUGAUAGUCAAACAUAUAAGAUCAUAAUCUUAGCUUUCUGUAGGUCACAGUUUGUGCCAUCAUGGCGCGAUUUCAAGACGUAAACAAGGCAGGAUAUAUGUUCGCUUUUAACUGUGGAUGUGGGUGAUUACUGCCCAACAUCCAGCAAUUACAGCUGCAUAUGUAAGUCUGAGAAGUUUGUUUCUAGCCUCCAAGUCUUCAAAGGGGAAUAUAAACAUUUAAUAACUACAUGCAGGACUAAGAAAGACAGACGAGGAGAAAAUGAACUUUCAUUCUUUCCGUCAUUAGGUGUCUUAAAUCAAGCUAAAAUCUGCAGGAUAUUUGGCUCAUAAAAGAAAAUAGUACUCCUUUACACCUAAUAAAAGACAAAUAACCACACAUCCUCGUGAUUCAGCACAAACCACAGAAUAACAUUUAAAUAGCUGAACAACUCCUGCAUCCUAACUUAAAUUAUCAGUAAGUUACGACAUGUAGGAUGUCGAUGUAUAUAAUUUUCCCAACGCUGUCAUUACUUUGAUGUCAGUAUGACCAUCCUGCCUUCUCAUUAGCGUGAAAAAGAAAGCACAAGCCACCAACUUCCUAUAUGUAGACAUUAUCCAUAGCACGGUAGGCAUUAAGGUUUCAGAUGUUUUCCACCGUCUGAAGUUAACGAGGCUCCAUAUGAUUACAGAUUAUCAGCUGCAGCUUUGGCAUCCUGAUUUGUCUCACAGUGGACAGCGAUAAAGGAGACAUGGAAGAUACAUGAAGGGUUUAGAACCAAACAUGUGCAAUCGGAGCGUGAGAGACGCACCGGGCCGGGUUGGAGUCUGAAUCAGCCGAUUAGAUUACCCUGCUGGGGCCGGAGUGACGCUGCAGGCCGGGCCGCCACCCAGACGCUCACCUCAGCUGCCCUCUCUCUCAUCCCCGCUGUUUCCCGGGCCGCGGCUGCGUCCCACCAGAGCUACAUCGCCCCCUGUUGGUUACAGGCAGGACAUCAGGCUGGCAUCCCACACAGAGGACCAACAGGAAAAAUAUCUUCAGGAGAGUGAUGUUAAAUCUACGGAACAAGAUUAGGGCCACUUAAAAAACAAAGCAAAAGAUA